AAUAGUUUUAGAAGGUUAUAAUC
rnacentral:snRNA from 1 species